rnacentral:tRNA from 1 species
CAAAGCGUAGCUAAACUCAGCUAAAGCAUCUCCCUUACACUGAGACAUUGUCUGUGCAAACCAGACCGCUUUGA